GAUGAACGCUGACAGAAUGCUUAACACAUGCAAGUCAACUUGAACUUCGGUUUGGGUGGCGGACGGGUGAGUAACGCGUAAAGAACUUGCCUCACAGCUAGGGACAACAUUUGGAAACGAAUGCUAAUACCUGAUAUUAUGAUUUUAGGGCAUCCUAGAAUUAUGAAAGCUAUAUGCGCUGUGAGAGAGCUUUGCGUCCCAUUAGCUAGUUGGAGAGGUAACGGCUCACCAAGGCGAUGAUGGGUAGCCGGCCUGAGAGGGUGAACGGCCACAAGGGGACUGAGACACGGCCCUUACUCCUACGGGAGGCAGCAGUGGGGAAUAUUGGACAAUGGACCAAGAGUCUGAUCCAGCAAUUCUGUGUGCACGAUGAGGUUUUUCGGAAUGUAAAGUGCUUUCAGUUGGGAAGAAAAAAAUGACGGUACCAACAGAAGAAGUGACGGCUAAAUACGUG
rnacentral:rRNA from 1 species